UGCUAUCGGGGUUUGACUAAGCCAUGCGAGUCGAGAGGUUCAAGACCUCGGCGUACUGCUCAGUAACACGUGGACAAUCUGCCCUGAAGUGGAGGAUAAUCCCGGGAAACUGGGGGUAAUACUCCAUAGUUCGUGCUGACUGGAAUGUUAUGCGAACGAAAGAUCCGUCGCUUCAGGAUGAGUCUGCGGCCGAUUAGGUAGUUGUUGGGGUAACGGCCCAACAAGCCUGUCAUCGGUACGGGUUGUGGGAGCAAGAGCCCGGAGAUGGAUUCUGAGACACGAAUCCAGGCCCUACGGGGCGCAGCAGGCGCGAAAACUUUACCAUGCGGGCAACCGUGAUAAGGAAACCCCGAGUGCCAGCACAGGCUGGCUGUCCGCCAGUGUAAAUAACUGGUGAAGAAAGGGCCGGGCAAGACCGGUGCCAGCCGCCGCGGUAAUACCGGCGGCUCGAGUGGUGGCCGCUAUUACUGGGCUUAAAGGGUCCGUAGCUGGAUGUACAAGUCCC
rnacentral:rRNA from 1 species